AUGAGUAGAAAGCAUGAGCCAAGCAGCUUGGAGUUGCUAGAAGCAGUCAAAUAUGGACUACAGAUACCUUCUUGUGCCGUGUCAAAGGAAAAGCAGCUGGGAAACACAUAGUAACUGACAAAUGUAGACUGACCUUUAUAACCAGAACUGGCAGAGAUCUGGGUGUGACUUCACAAGGAAAGACAAUGCAAUGGAAGGACUGUGCUGGUCACAGGAAAAACAGUGAGCUUCCUCUCGAUUUCUGCUUUCCUCAGAUUUAGAUGGAUAAAGAAGACACAGGGCAAUCUUGGAUCUGCACUCCACUUCCUGGCCCACAGCUCUGCCUGACUUCUGGGAGGUCUGUGGCCAACCAGAAAAACCAGGUGCUUUGACUUGUCAUAACUGUGAAAAUUCUUCUGGGAAGACAAGCUCCCAUUCUGGCUAUAUCAGUCUUCAGUGGAGAUUCAGGAGGAAAUCCCAAUUCUCAGUUUGAAAGGGCUUAACAUCUUGUCUACUAAUGAUAUUCCAAAUCUUCAAGUCUGGAUCCCUUCUUCAGGAUUUCUGCACUAACUAAAAACAACUGGAUGAAUAAACCAUGAGACAAGAAAGAGAGUCCAUGGGUCAGGAUGUCUGAAAAAAAUAGAAUUUGUGUUGAUGUCCCUGACAGUACCACAACAACAGCAUUUGGGAUAAAGCAAAUAUGGUUUCAUCAUGCUCCUGUCCAUGAAUCCUGAUAUCUUCUAGUUCCUGUCCCUCUCCACAUGACUUUGUUACCUAAUUCCCUGGUCAUAUCACCAUCAUUACCAUCAUGACCAUCACCAUCUGCAGCAGCAGCAUCACUACCACCACCAGCAGCAGCAGCAAGUGGAGGAGGAGCAGCAGCAGCAGCAGGAGGAUGAGGAGGAGCAGCAGCAGCAGGAGGAGGAAGAGGAGCAGCAGCAGGAGGAUGAGGAGGAGCAGCAGCAGCAGGAGGAGGAAGAGGAGCAGCAGCAGCAGCAGUAGCAGGAUCUAAUCACCAUCCACACUCCUCUUUGUCUACAGCAGUGUUAUUUCUCAGUUCUGUUUCCAGUGCUCUGAGGAAUGAAUCUUUUUCCCUAUUGUAGAUUUUGCAAUCACAUCCCAUUGAAGUUCUGCAUAGCUGUCUUCAAGUUCAGAGGACUGGCCCUGAUCGGGGUCCAUGCUGGAUACCUCUAGCAUGUGACUGUGGACCUUGGCUGAAACAUACAUUGCUUCCAUGCAUGUGAGGGAUUUUCUGAGAUGCUCACGAAGACAGUGCUAUGUUCAUUGUUGUUUCUAGAGAAGUGGUCUCAUUCAGA
rnacentral:lncRNA from 1 species